ACGGAAGGCAGCAGUGGGGAAUAUUGGACAAUGGAGGCAACUCUGAUCCAGCGACGCCGCGUGAGUGAAGAAGUAUUUCGGUAUGUAAAGCUCUAUCAGCAGGGAAGAUGAUGACGGUACCUGACUAAGAAGCCCCGGCUAACUACGUGCCAGCAGCCGCGGUAAUACGUAGGGGGCAAGCGUUAUCCGGAUUUACUGGUGUAAAGGGAGCGUAGGCGGCCAGACAAGUCAGGUGUGAAAACCCGGGGCUUAACCCCGGGACUGCACGUGAAACUGCCUGGCUGGAGUGCAGGAGAGGCAAGUGGAAUUCCUAGUGUAGCGGUGAAAUGCGUAGAUAUUAGGAAGAACACCGGUGGCGAAGGCGACUUGCUGGACUGAGACUGACGCUGAGGCUCGAAAGCGUGGGGAGCAAACAGGAUUAGAUACCCUGGUA
rnacentral:rRNA from 1 species